UGAGUAACCUGCCCUUAACUCUGGGAUAAGCCUGGGAAACUGGGUCUAAUACCGGAUAUGACUCCUCAUCGCAUGGUGGGGGGUGGAAAGCUUUAUUGUUGGUUUUGGAUGGACUCGCGGCCUAUCAGCUUGUUGGUGAGGUAAUGGCUUACCAAGGCGACGACGGGUAGCCGGCCUGAGAGGGUGACCGGCCACAACUGGGACUGAGACACGGCCCAGACUCCUACGGGAGGCAG
rnacentral:rRNA from 1 species